UACGGAGGGUGCAAGCGUUGUUCGGAAUUACUGGGCGUAAAGAGCGUGUAGGCGGUAUGGUAAGUCAGAUGUGAAAGUCCUGGGCUCAACCCAGGAAGUGCUUUUGAAACUGCCAUGCUGGAGUAUGGGAGAGGAGAGUGGAAUUCCCGGUGUAGAGGUGAAAUUCGUAGAUAUCGGGAGGAACACCCGUGGCGAAGGCGACUCUCUGGACCAAUACUGACGCUGAGACGCGAAAGCGUGGGGAG
rnacentral:rRNA from 1 species